CCGUCGAUAGCUCAGUUGGCACAGCGGUGCACUGUAGAUCCAUAGGUCACUGGUCCGACUCCGGCUCGAAGGA